ensembl:lncRNA
CUCACUGACCUGCUCUUUCUCUGUCCCCUCCCCACCCUCCGCCUGCUCCCUUGGUGCAGCUUUUGCUCGCGGAAGAUCAGAGCAAAGUGACAAGGACCGGCUGCGGGUUUGAGGAUCUUCUUCUCCCUUGUUCUGAUCUCUUGCCAGGUACGUGCCAUGCUUUGUAUUGCCACAUGGUUCAGCAGCCCGUGUUUAGUCGCACCGUGUGUAGUAACACAGGCUCGUCCAGCUGGGAUGCGGCACUGGUCACGCGUGGGUUUUUUCCACUUCCCCUCCAGCUCAGCCCUCGGCAGGAUGCUGCCUGUAGUGCUGGGAGCAGCUAGUGUGAAGGAAAGCAAUCCCUUAGGCAAAGAGCCCUAGCCGCAGUUUGUGCAGGGCUGCACAGCAUGAGCCAGGGGCAGAAGCGUGCAUGCUUUGGCUGUGGGAGUGUGCCCGACAGCUGUAGGGAGCACAGCGGGCAUGCAGGCAGAGGAAAUGCGUGGGCAAGGCUGUCCCGUUUGAAUAGACUGCACAGAGUGGUUGUUUGUAGAACACCUGCCUCCGCCAGUGGGCAACUGAGAGUAGUUCUGAAGAAGACUCUCAAUCCAGUGCUGUGUGAACACAGGAAAUGUGUUUCUUUUCUGUUGCAGCUUGUCGAGCCUGCUGUGAUGGGCAUCGCGAGCAGCAAGAUCAGCUGUGGGCCUGACCUGGCAUGGACAGAGGUAUGGUGUGAAGCUGUGAUUGGUCUUUGUUCCCUGACUUGAACCCGCAGUGUGAGCCACAGGUGUGCUCUCCUGCUUUUCAAGAUAGAGAGAGAGCAUCCUUCCGGCUCUCUUGGUGUCACUGAAGAGCUGCCUUGAAAGCUUCAUUUCCUUGCUAGUGGCAUGUAGAUGGCACCCUGCAAUCCUCCUUGUUUGUCCUCAGCUCCUCACCGUGGCCUGUGCUCUCUGUUUCAGCCUGAGAACCAGGGGAAGCCCUUGCUGGUGCAUGAGGAGCCAUCUCUUAAUAUUCCGGCUAUUGCUGCUGGCCAUGUUAUUAAGAGAUACGUUGCCCAGGCAGCGGAUGAGCUCUCCUUGGAGGUAAGCAGUUAAAGGCGUUCCUUGUUGUCAUGGCCAGAAGAGU